AUUGAACGCUGGCGGCAUGCUUUACACAUGCAAGUCGAACGGCAGCGCGGGCUUCGGCCUGGCGGCGAGUGGCGAACGGGUGAGUAAUGCAUCGGAACGUGCCCAGUAGUGGGGGAUAGCCCGGCGAAAGCCGGAUUAAUACCGCAUACGACCUGAGGGUGAAAGCGGGGGACCGAAAGGCCUCGCGCUAUUGGAUCGGCCGAUGUCGGAUUAGCUAGUUGGUGGGGUAAAGGCUUACCAAGGCGACGAUCCGUAGCUGGUCUGAGAGGACGACCAGCCACAUUGGAAGUGAGACGCGGGCCAGGCCCCCACGGGAGGCAGCAGGGGGGAAUAGUGGAAAAUGGGCGAGAGCCUGAUCCAGCCAUGCCGGGUGUGUGAAGAAGGUCUUCGGAUGGGAAAGGACGUUAAGUUGGGAGGAAGGGCAGUAAGGUAAUACCUUGCUGUUUUGACGUGACCAACAGAAGAAGCACCGGCUAACUUCGUG
rnacentral:rRNA from 1 species